rnacentral:rRNA from 1 species
GAUGAACGCUGGCGGCGUGCCUAAUACAUGCAAGUCGAGCGAACGGACGAGAAGCUUGCUUCUCUGAUGUUAGCGGCGGACGGGUGAGUAACACGUGGAUAACCUACCUAUAAGACUGGGAUAACUUCGGGAAACCGGAGCUAAUACCGGAUAAUAUUUUGAACCGCAUGGUUCAAAAGUGAAAGACGGUCUUGCUGUCACUUAUAGAUUGAUCCGCGCUGCAUUAGCUAGUUGGUAAGGUAACGGCUUACCAAGGCAACGAUGCAUAGCCGACCUGAGAGGGUGAUCGGCCACACUGGAAGUGAGAAACGGUCCAGACUCCUACGGGAGGAAGCAGUAGGGAAUCUUACGCAAUGGGCGAAAGCCUGACGGAGCAAAGCCGCGUGAGUGAUGAAGGUGUUAGGAUCGUAAAACUCUGUUAUUAGGGAAGAACAUAUGUGUAAGUAACUGUGCACAUAUUGACGGUACCUAAUCAGAAAGCCACGGCUAACUACGUG